rnacentral:rRNA from 1 species
UCUCCGGAGUGACGGGUACACUGUGGGACCGCCGCUGCUAAAGCGGAGGAAGGAAUGGGCAACGGUAGGUCAGUAUGCCCCGAAUAUCCCGGGCUACACGCGAGCUACAAUGGUUGGUACAAUGGGUAUCUACCCCGAAAGGGGACGGGAAUCUCCUAAAACCAAUCUUAGUUCGGAUUGAGGGCUGCAACUCGCCCUCAUGAAGCUGGAAUCCGUAGUAAUCGCGUUUCAACAGAACGCGGUCGAAUACCGUCCCUGCUCCUU